AAACGGGUGCGGAACACGUACGCAACCUUCCUUUAACUGGAGAAUAGCCCCUCGAAAGAGGGAUUAAUACUCCGUAACAUAUUGAUAAGGCAUCUUAUUAAUAUUAUAGCUCCGGCGGUUAAAGAUGGGCGUGCGCCUGAUUAGAUAGUUGGCGGGGUAACGGCCCACCAAGUCUGCGAUCAGUAACUGGUGUGAGAGCACGACCAGUCACACGGGUACUGAGACACGGACCCG
rnacentral:rRNA from 1 species